rnacentral:lncRNA from 1 species
UUCUCAAGGAAGGAUAUUAUAAAUACAUAUACAAAUUCGAUUAAUUAUAUGUUGUAUGUCGUCAUUAUUAUCUUAUAUCAAGGGCUUUUAAAUUAAAAUUUGAUUAUGAUUGACAACUUCUUACGAUAAAGCAAAAUACCUAUAUUUGACUUGAUUUACAAAAUUGGUUGUAUAAAAAAGGUCAUGGUCUGAUAGUAAAUACCAUAAAGCAAUGGUUUUUCAUUAAUUCUUCAGGUUCUUCCUUCUAAGGCAGGUUUUUCUUCUUCUUCUACGGCACUACAGCCCAAAUUGAGCCUUGGUCUCCUUUGUUUUUUGCCUCCACCCUUGUUUGUCUGUAACUGCUCUUCUCCAUACACGGACUCCUAAAAGGGCUUUUGCGUCGCUGUUUACUGUGCCUUGCCAGCGCUUUCUUGGCUUUCCAACUGGUCUUUUUCCCUGCAUUCUAGCGUUCAGUGCUCAUUUUGGUAAUAACCUAUCCUCUCCCAUUCUUCUCACAUGUCCGGCUCAUUGCAAUCUUUGUAUUCUAAUGAAGUCUGACAGGGGUGUUUACUUAUAAAGUUGAUAAAGCUCAUUGUUGUAUCGACUUUGAAGAUUCCGUUUCCCUCGAGGGUCCUAAGCAGGUUAGGAGGCCUUAAUAGCAGUUUUGUCUUAGUUAGGGGCAGAUCUGAACAGUUCCAUUGAGCCACACGUUAACCAUUGUCUCAAAUUUUAGAGCUUUCAGUGAUUGUAUUCUUAUCUAUCGAGCAUUGUACAAGCAACAAUAAGAUGUUUGCAUUUCGUUCUGUAAUUUGUUAUUUUUAUUGAAACUGAUUUAUGAGCAAACUCUAAUCUACAUUUCAUAGGUUUUCAAGAGAAGAAUUUAAUAAAUAUUUGGGAGACUUUUCUUCUUUAAGGUUUUUUCUCAGGUUUGAUUUAAAAUUAUUGUUGACAUCUAUUCAAAUUCAACAUAAUCUCCUCAUAUACUACAUCUAAGUUAAAGUAGUGCCGAAAAACCAGCGUUGAAUGGUAAUCUUGAUAACAUAAAGUGAAUAUUCAGAUUGUACAUUUCACCAGGGUUCUCGGGUCUCUUAAUCCUUCCUCGUAAUUUUGCAAGCUUUUUGAGCAGGUUGUUCAAAAACGAUAAAAAACAGCGCUUCCAUUGAUUAUCAAUCAAAACAAAUACAUGUGCGCUACCUCUAUUCUUUCCUAAUGAUUAUGUUCAAAAGUACUCACUGCUUCUUUCGAGGAUACCAUAUGGCCUUCAAUCUAGCAAAGGGUUGAGACAAUAUCGAAUGUUUUCACUAGCUGGCGUAAAAUUGUAACUUAGAUCCUCUUAAAUUGUAAUAACUUUUUGCUUGUAUUUGCCCAACGUUUCUUUCCCUAUCUUCAGGUUUGAUUCUGGUCUGAUAAAAAGAGUACUAGUCUCUGUAGGACCUAACAACCAUCACAAAAAUGAUCUGCAAAACAGGAGAGAGGAAUGGCAGAUGGAAUAAUUAUUAAUAAACAAAGUUUUGUCAUUAUAGCAGUGUUAAGUCGAUUUUUCCUUUUACUGAAUGAUUUUCUAAAACAUCUGGAGGUUUAUCAAUCAGACAAACUAGGUAUACCUAUGUUUUCCUAAUAUUCUGUUUUUGUUAUAUUUUUGAAGUAUUUUGAGCAGGUCAUGGUGAGACGAGAUGUCUACGAACGAUUGAGAAAUAGCUAAAUAGAUUAAUUUUGUUUAUUGAUUUCCCAAAUGUCCUUCAGUGACUUUGCAUCUAAUACAUUUUGCAUUCAGACUGCAUUCAAAAACAUACCUCCAUAUUGUGUCUGGUUUUGGGCCCAGUUUAUUUUCAUUCGUUUUUUAUGCGGCCGGGUGUUGUUAUUCUCCUCAAAAACAAAAUUAUUCAUAUAGCAACAAUGUGCAUAUCAGCAAGUGUUGAUGCAGUUGCAUUAUCCAUAAAUCCCCAAAUUAAAAAUACAAAACGAAAA